GCCCUUAUCUGUAUCUGUAUUUUGAAAAAUACCAGACUAAAAAAUAUAAUUAAUAAUUUUAGGUGCUUUGGCAUUUGACUUGCUCACAAUUAUGACUCAGUCUAUAAGUUUAUUGCAAAGAUCCAUUUGGGGUUCUCUGUAAAUACAAAGUACAUAACAGGCUCCAAAUAAACAUUUGAAGAUGUUUCCGGCUAGCUAGCAUUUUUCUCAUGACCCAGGAUGUGUUUGUCCAUGUAGCCUCUAUGAUAGAGCCAAGACUUCUCUGCUGUUCCCAGAGAGAGAGCUGGACUCUCACAGAUAUGACUGUGUGAGUUUUCAGGAAGUCCCUUCUCACGUAAUUUUAGAAAUUUAACUAGGUUGAGAUAGCAACCUGCUUGUGCUGUUGUAACCACAGGACAGAGGUUUUGCCCCUCAUUCAAGGAGUGCCCUAGCUUCCAGGACCAUACACAUCAGAUCUUCUGGAGCCCUGCAGAGUUUCUCUCAUCUGCUGACAUGUAAGACAUGUCUUUCACCUUCUGCCAUGAUUGUGAGACCUCCCCAGCCACAUGGAACGACUACAUUCUUUUCUCAGGAUGCCUUAUAAAAGUCAUUGAACCCACAUCCUAUGUUGAACUCUCAAAGACUUUUAGGACACUGGAAAUAUGA
rnacentral:lncRNA from 1 species